rnacentral:tRNA from 1 species
GCACCCAUAGCUCAGUUGGAUAGAGCGACAGACUUCGAAUCUGCAGGUCGCAGGUUCAAAUCCUGCUGGGUGCA